AACGCUAGCUACAGGCUUAACACAUGCAAGUCGAGGGGCAGCAUUAACGGAAGCUUGCUUUUGUUAGAUGGCGACCGGCGCACGGGUGAGUAACGCGUAUCCAACCUGCCAUAUACAGAGGGAUAGCCUUGCGAAAGUAAGAUUAAUACCUCAUGGUUUACGAUGACCGCAUGGUUGUUGUAAUAAAGAUUUAUCGGUAUAUGAUGGGGAUGCGUCCCAUUAGAUAGUCGGCGGGGUAACGGCCCACCGAGUCGACGAUGGGUAGGGGUUCUGAGAGGAAGGUCCCCCACAUUGGAACUGAGACACGGUCCAAACUCCUACGGGAGGCAGCAGUGAGGAAUAUUGGUCAAUGGGCGCGAGCCUGAACCAGCCAAGUAGCGUGAAGGAUGAAGGUCCUACGGAUUGUAAACUUCUUUUAUAAGGGAAUAAAGUCACCCACGUGUGGGUGUUUGUAUGUACCUUAUGAAUAAGCAUCGGCUAACUCCGUGCCAGCAGCCGCGGUAAUACGGAGGAUGCGAGCGUUAUCCGGAUUUAUUGGGUUUAAAGGGAGCGUAGACGGGUCGUUAAGUCAGCUGUGAAAGUUCGGGGCUCAACCUUAAAAUUGCAGUUGAAACUGGGAUUCUUGAGUGCAGUUGAGCUGGAUGGAAUUCGUGGUGUAGCGGUGAAAUGCUUAGAUAUCACGAAGAACUCCGAUUG
rnacentral:rRNA from 1 species